AAGGAUCAUUACCGAGUGAGGGCCCUCUGGGUCCAACCUCCCACCCGUGUUUAUCGUACCUUGUUGCUUCGGCGGGCCCGCCUCACGGCCGCCGGGGGGCAUCCGCCCCCGGGCCCGCGCCCGCCGAAGACACCAUUGAACUCUGUCUGAAGAUUGCAGUCUGAGCGAUUAGCUAAAUCAGUUAAAACUUUCAACAACGGAUCUCUUGGUUCCGGCAUCGAUGAAGAACGCAGCGAAAUGCGAUACGUAAUGUGAAUUGCAGAAUUCAGUGAAUCAUCGAGUCUUUGAACGCACAUUGCGCCCCCUGGUAUUCCGGGGGGCAUGCCUGUCCGAGCGUCAUUGCUGCCCUCAAGCACGGCUUGUGUGUUGGGCCCCGCCCCCCGGUUCCGGGGGGCGGGCCCGAAAGGCAGCGGCGGCACCGCGUCCGGUCCUCGAGCGUAUGGGGCUUUGUCACCCGCUCUGUAGGCCCGGCCGGCGCCCGCCGGCGACCCCAAAUCAAUCUAUCCAGGUUGACCUCGGAUCAGGUAGGGAUACCCGCUGAACUUAA
rnacentral:rRNA from 1 species